CCUACGGGAGGCAGCAGUGAGGAAUAUUGGUCAAUGGGAGAGAUCCUGAACCAGCCAAGCCGCGUGAGGGAAGACGGCCCUAUGGGUUGUAAACCUCUUUUGUCGGAGAACAAAACCCGGGACGUGUCCCGGACUGCGUGUAUCCGAAGAAAAAGCAUCGGCUAGCUCCGUGCCAGCAGCCGCGGUAAUACGGAGGAUGCGAGCGUUAUCCGGAUUUAUUGGGGUUAAAGGGUGCGUAGGCGGUCCGUUAAGUCAGCGGGAAAAUUGCGGGGCUCAACCCCGUCGAGCCGUGGAAACUGGCAGACUUGAGUUGGCGAGAAGUACGCGGAAUGCGCGGUGUAGCGGUGAAAUGCAGAGAUAUCGCGCAGAACUCCGAUUGCGAAGGCAGCGUACCGGCGCCAGACUGACGCUGAGGCACGAAAGCGUGGGGAUCGAACAGGAUUAGAUACCCGAGUAGUC
rnacentral:rRNA from 1 species